CAAGACAGCAGAACGACUGGCACCCAGGUUAAUAAAGAGAGCAGAACGACUGGCACCCAGGUUAAUAAAGAGAGCAGAACGACUGGCACCCAGGUUAAUAAAGACAGCAGAACGACUGGCACCCAGGUUAAUAAAGACAGCAGAACGACUGGCACCCAGGUUAAUAAAGACAGCAGAACGACUGGCACCCAGGUUAAUAAAGACAGCAGAACUGGCACCCAGGUUAAUAAAGACAGCAGAACGACUGGCACCCAGGUUAAUAAAGACAGCAGAACGACUGGCACCCAGGUUAAUAAAGACAGCAGAACGACUGGCACCCAGGUUAAUAAAGACAGCAGAACGACUGGCACCCAGGUUAAUAAAGACAGCAGAACUGGCACCCAGGUUAAUAAAGACAGCAGAACGACUGGCACCCAGGUUAAUAAAGACAGCAGAACGACUGGCACCCAGGUUAAUAAAGACAGCAGAACAACUGGCACCCAGGUUAAUAAAGACAGCAGAACGACUGGCACCCAGGUUAAUAAAGACAGCAGAACGACUGGCACCCAGGUUAAUAAAGACAGCAGAACGACUGGCACCCAGGUUAAUAAAGACAGCAGAACAACUGGCACCCAGGUUAAUAAAGACAGCAGAACGACUGGCACCCAGGUUAAUAAAGACAGCAGAACUGGCACCCAGGUUAAUAAAGACAGCAGAACGACUGGCACCCAGGUUAAUAAAGACAGCAGAACGACUGGCACCCAGGUUAAUAAAGAGAGCAGAACGACUGGCACCCAGGUUAAUAAAGACAGCAGAACGACUGGCACCCAGGUUAAUAAAGACAGCAGAACUGGCACCCAGGUUAAUAAAGACAGCAGAACGACUGGCACCCAGGUUAAUAAAGACAGCAGAACGACUGGCACCCAGGUUAAUAAAGACAGCAGAACGACUGGCACCCAGGUUAAUAAAGACAGCAGAACGACUGGCACCCAGGUUAAUAAAGACAGCAGAACUGGCACCCAGGUUAAUAAAGACAGCAGAACGACUGGCACCCAGGUUAAUAAAGACAGCAGAACGACUGGCACCCAGGUUAAUAAAGACAGCAGAACAACUGGCACCCAGGUUAAUAAAGACAGCAGAACGACUGGCACCCAGGUUAAUAAAGACAGCAGAACGACUGGCACCCAGGUUAAUAAAGACAGCAGAACGACUGGCACCCAGGUUAAUAAAGACAGCAGAACAACUGGCACCCAGGUUAAUAAAGACAGCAGAACUGGCACCCAGGUUAAUAAAGACAGCAGAACGACUGGCACCCAGGUUAAUAAAGACAGCAGAACGACUGGCACCCAGGUUAAUAAAGACAGCAGAACGACUGGCACCCAGGUUAAUAAAGAGAGCAGAACGACUGGCACCCAGGUUAAUAAAGAGAGCAGAACGACUGGCACCCAGGUUAAUAAAGAGAGCAGAACGACUGGCACCCAGGUUAAUAAAGAGAGCAGAACGACUGGCACCCAGGUUAACAAAGAGAGCAGAACGACUGGCACCCAGGUUAAUAAAGAGAGCAGAACUGGCACCCAGGUUAAUAAAGACAGCAGAACGACUGGCACCCAGGUUAAUAAAGACAGCAGAACUGGCACCCAGGUUAAUAAAGACAGCAGAACGACUGGCACCCAGGUUAAUAAAGACAGCAGAACGACUAGCACCCAGGUUAAUAAAGAGAGCAGAACAACUGGCACCCAGGUUAAUAAAGAGAGCAGAACGACUGGCACCCAGGUUAAUAAAGAGAGCAGAACUGGCACCCAGGUUAAUAAAGACAGCAGAACGACUGGCACCCAGGUUAAUAAAGACAGAAGAACGACUGGCACCCAGGUUAAUAAAGACAGCAGAACGACUGGCACCCAGGUUAAUAAAGACAGCAGAACUGGCACCCAGGUUAAUAAAGACAGCAGAACGACUGGCACCCAGGUUAAUAAAGACAGCAGAACGACUGGCACCCAGGUUAAUAAAGACAGCAGAACAACUGGCACCCAGGUUAAUAAAGACAGCAGAACGACUGGCACCCAGGUUAAUAAAGACAGCAGAACGACUGGCACCCAGGUUAAUAAAGACAGCAGAACGACUGGCACCCAGGUUAAUAAAGACAGCAGAACGACUGGCACCCAGGUUAAUAAAGACAGCAGAACGACUGGCACCCAGGUUAAUAAAGACAGCAGAACGACUGGCACCCAGGUUAAUAAAGACAGCAGAACUGGCACCCAGGUUAAUAAAGACAGCAGAACGACUGGCACCCAGGUUAAUAAAGAGAGCAGAACGACUGGCACCCAGGUUAAUAAAGACAGCAGAACAACUGGCACCCAGGUUAAUAAAGACAGCAGAACGACUGGCACCCAGGUUAAUAAAGACAGCAGAACGACUGGCACCCAGGUUAAUAAAGACAGCAGAACUGGCACCCAGGUUAAUAAAGACAGCAGAACGACUGGCACCCAGGUUAAUAAAGACAGCAGAACGACUGGCACCCAGGUUAAUAAAGACAGCAGAACGACUGGCACCCAGGUUAAUAAAGACAGCAGAACGACUGGCACCCAGGUUAAUAAAGACAGCAGAACUGGCACCCAGGUUAAUAAAGACAAGAGAGCAGAACUGGCACCCAGGUUAAUAAAGACAGCAGAACGACUGGCACCCAGGUUAAUAAAGACAGCAGAACUGGCACCCAGGUUAAUAAAGACAGCAGAACGACUGGCACCCAGGUUAAUAAAGACAGCAGAACGACUAGCACCCAGGUUAAUAAAGAGAGCAGAACAACUGGCACCCAGGUUAAUAAAGAGAGCAGAACGACUGGCACCCAGGUUAAUAAAGAGAGCAGAACUGGCACCCAGGUUAAUAAAGACAGCAGAACGACUGGCACCCAGGUUAAUAAAGACAGAAGAACGACUGGCACCCAGGUUAAUAAAGACAGCAGAAUGA
rnacentral:lncRNA from 1 species